GAUGAACGCUGGCGGCGUGCUUAACACAUGCAAGUCGAGCGGAAAGGCCCAAUCUUGCUUGCGUACUCGAGUGGCGAACGCGGGAGUAUCACGCGGGUGAUCUGUCCUGCACUUCGGGAGAAAACUGGGGAACUGGGUCUAUUACCGGAUAUGACCACUUCAUGCAUGUUGUGGAAGAAAGAAUGUUCUGUUUGGGAUAAGCUCGCGGCAUAUCAGCUUGUUUGUGGGGUAAUGGCAUACAAAGGCGUAGACGGGUAGCCGACCUUAGGGGGGGUACGGCGACAAUGGGACUGAGGGACGCACCAGACUGGUACGUGAGGCAACAGAGGGGAAUAUUGCACAAUGGGCGCGAGCCAGAUGCAGCGACGCCGCGUGGGGGAUGACGGCCUUGGGGUUGUAAACGCUGUUCGCAAGGGACGGAGCGUUUUGUGACGGUACCUGGAGAAGAAGCAACGGCUAACUACGUG
rnacentral:rRNA from 1 species